rnacentral:rRNA from 1 species
CCUACGGGAGGCAGCAGUGGGGAAUUUUCCGCAAUGGGCGAAAGCCUGACGGAGCAACGCCGCGUGAGGGAUGAAGGCCUCUGGGCUGUAAACCUCUUUUAUCAAGGAAGAAGAUCUGACGGUACUUGAUGAAUAAGCCACGGCUAAUUCCGUGCCAGCAGCCGCGGUAAUACGGGAGUGGCAAGCGUUAUCCGGAAUUAUUGGGCGUAAAGCGUCCGCAGGCGGUCUGUCAAGUCUGCUGUUAAAGCGUGGAGCUUAACUCCAUUUCGGCAGUGGAAACUGACAGACUAGAGUGUGGUAGGGGCAGAGGGAAUUCCCGGUGUAGCGGUGAAAUGCGUAGAUAUCGGGAAGAACACCAGUGGCGAAGGCGCUCUGCUGGGCCAUAACUGACGCUCAUGGACGAAAGCCAGGGGAGCGAAAGGGAUUAGAUACCCCUGUAGUCCUGGCCGUAAACGAUGAACACUAGGUGUCGGGGGAAUCGACCCCCUCGGUGUCGUAGCCAACGCGUUAAGUGUUCCGCCUGGGGAGUACGCACGCAAGUGUGAAACUUAAAGGAAUUGACGG